CAGUCGUGAGGAAGGCGGCGUCGUUAAUAGCGGCGUUGUUUGACGUUAGCGACAGAAGAAAGCACCGGCUAACUCCGUGCCAGCAGCCGCGGUAAUACGGAGGGUGCGAGCGUUAAUCGGAAUUACUGGGCGUAAAGCGCAUGCAGGUGGUUUGUUAAGUCAGAUGUGAAAGACCCGGGGCUCAACCUCGGAAUUGCAUUUGAAACUGGCAGACUAGAGUACUGUAGAGGGGGGUAGGAAUUUCAGGUGUAGCGGUGAAAUGCGUAGAGAUCUGAAGGAAUACCGGUGGCGAAGGCGGCCCCCUCGGACAGAUACUGACACUCAGAUGCGAAAGCGUGGGGAGCAAACAGGAUUAGAUACCCUGGUAG
rnacentral:rRNA from 1 species